rnacentral:lncRNA from 1 species
UCUUUCUGGAGAUCCCUCCUUGGUGGAUUUUUUCCCUCUGAACCUGGAAUCUUCUGGUAUGGCAUGUGAACUGUCACACCAAGAAUACAGCACUGAAAAUCGGAAUGGUUACUUCAACAUGGACAAACUGCCUGCUUUUGGAAAUGGAUGGAUGGGAAAUGAUUUCCAUCAUUGAUUUUCCUUCACAGACUUUCCCAAAGACAAUAUUUUGAAAACUGGACAUCAUGAGGAAAGAGCCAGGUCUUCUUUGAGUCCCCUAAAAUAUGAAACCAA